GGUUAAGCGACUAAGCGUACACGGUGGAUGCCCUGGCAGUCAGAGGCGAUGAAGGACGUGCUAAUCUGCGAUAAGCGCCGGUAAGGUGAUAUGAACCGUUAUAACCGGCGAUUUCCGAAUGGGGAAACCCAGUGUGACUCGUCACACUAUCAUUAACUGAAUCCAUAGGUUAAUGAGGCGAACCGGGGGAACUGAAACAUCUAAGUACCCCC
rnacentral:rRNA from 1 species